rnacentral:rRNA from 1 species
AACCCUGUAGAGUAAACCUCUGCAAUCUUUAUCUUUAUGAUAAAGGAGCAUACCCUGGGAAGGGAAACAGCUCAGUACCAGGAGGAAUAGAGACAAAUAGGUAUUUCCUAAGUAGUGGCGAGCGAAAAGGAAGAAGCCCAAACCCUUCGAUUCGACACUCUGUGUCUCACUCAGGGUAAACCUGUCAUAAAAAAAAUAUGGCGGGCUUGCCCCGAGCGAGGUGCGAAGCGCCGAGUCGAGGGGGGUUGUAAGAUGACAAUGUAGUUUACUAGAAGAGUAAAAAAAUUAAUUAUUAGUUGAAGUUGCUGGAAAGCGACAUCAUAGAGGGUGAUAAUCCCGUAAACGAAAAUAAUUAAUCUCUUUUAUUGUUAUUCUUGAGUACCCCAGGACACGAAUGGCCGGGGGGAAUCCAGCGGAACUAACCGCUAAGGCUAAAUACUCUUAAAGAUCGAUAGUGAACUAGUACCGUGAGGGAAAGGUGAAAAGCAGCCCGAUUAGGGCGGUGAAAUAGACCUGAAACCGUAUGUCUACAAGGAGUUGGAGUGGUGAGUUUAUUCGAACCACGACAGCGUGCCUAUUGAAGAAUGAGCCAACGAGUUUAUGCAUACUGCUGGUGAAGUGGGCUAAAACCACAGAACCAUAGGGAAACCGAGUGUUAAUAGCGCGACAUAAUAGUAGUAUGCAUAAGACCCGAAACUAGGUGAGCUUGCCAUGAGCAGGUUGAAGUAGGUCGAAAGACUUAUGGAGGACCGAACCGGUAGAUCGUACAACGUCUUCGGAUGACUUGUGGUAAGGAGUGAAAAGCUAAUCGAACCUGGUAAUAGCUGGUUCUCUCCGAAAUAGCUUUAGGGCUAGCGUCAAGUGUUUUCUCUGGGGGUAGAGCACUGGAAGAUUUGGACAGGUCGAAAGAUCGCUAAAUUUAUCAAACUCCGAAUACCAGAGACCAUAGCUUGGCAGUUACACUGUGGGGGCGAAGCUCCAUUAGUGAAAAGGGAAACAGCCCGGAUCUCGAAAUAAGGUCCCUAAAUAUAUACUAAGUGUAAAACAAGAAGGUGAAGUUUCUUUAACAAUGAGGAGGUUGGCUUAGAAGCAGCCAUCCUUUAAAGAUAGCGUAACAGCUCACUCAUCUAGAGAUUUUGCGUCGAAAAUAAUUGGGGCUAAGUAUAUUACCGAAUUUGAGGACCCCGCACAUAACCUAACAAAUAAUAUUUACCAAACUAAAAGAUGGUUGUGGAACCGUAAUUUUGGUUUUGCGUUUUAUGUUGUUUAGUGGGUUAUGUGCGGGGUGGUAGGAGAGUGUUCCACUCGACCGCCCGAAAGGGUUAGGUCUCUGCUGUGAAGCGAUACUUGUGAGAGAUCGUGGAGCGUGUGGAAGUAAGAAUGUUGGCACAAGUAACCGCAAUGAUGCUGAGAACGCAUCACGUCGAAAGAUCAAGGUUUCCUUGGUAAUGUCAAUCAGCCAAGGGUUAGUCGGGCCUAAGGGAAUGGAGAAAUCCGUACUCGAUGGACAGUAGGUUAAUAUUCCUACACUUUUGUAUUUUGUGAUGGGAUGACGGAGUGUAGUAUGUAUCGCAGAUUAUUGGAUUUCAUGUUUGUGUCUUUAGGAUGUGCUAUAGGAAAAUCCGUAGCCUGCUUUAAAUAGCGAAUCCAAGAGAAGCAAAAAGUUUUAGACCUCGGUCUAGGACAAUGAUACAAAGCGCGCUUCCAAGAAAACUCUCUAAACUUAAGAAUAUAAAAUCCGUACCGCAAACCGACACAGGUGAUCAGGUCGAGUAGACCAAGACGAACGAGUGAGUGGUCCCCAAGGAACUCGGCAAAAAAUCAGCCGUAACUUCGGGAUAAGGCUUUCCCGCACAUAACCUAACAAAUAAUAUUUACUAAAACAAAGAUAGUUGUGGAACUAUAAUUUACGUUUUACGUUUUAUGUUGUUUAGUGGGUUAUGUGCGGGACGCAGCGAAAGUAUCCCUGGCAACUGUUUACCAAAAACACAGCUCCCUGCGAACUCGUAAGAGGAUGUAUAGGGGGUGACACCUGACCAAUGCCAGAAGGUCAAAUAUCGCCGUUUCUUCUAUUCGCAAGACUAGAAGAGGUGAGUGAUAUAAGCCCUGGUGAAUGUCGGCCGUAACUAUAACGGUCCUAAGGUUCUUCGCUUAACGCAAGUUAAGCGCGGAAUGACUGAGACUGUUGUAGAAAAAAGUAAACAAUUAAAUUAAAAAAUUAUUAAACUAUUCGAAUGCUACCUGCACUGCAGUAAUGUAGUGACAGUCAAAACUUGGCUAACGAGAGACCAGCGUCAAGCAUCCUAUUUUAUUUUGUGAGGGAUUUAUCCUGAGCGAAGUCGAAGGGUGAAGAUAGAGUCCUUCUUAGGUAUAGAAGAGCGAAAUACCUUGUCGGGUAAGUUCCGACGCGCACGAAUGGUGUAAUGACUGGGGAACUGUCUCGGGGACCAGCUCGGUGAAAAUACAAUACCGGUGAAGAUGCCGGUUAAGUGCAGUUAGACGAAAAGACCCUAGAAGCUUUACUAUAGCUUGAUAUUGAGCAUGUUUUUGGACUGCGUAGCAUAGAUGGGAGAGGUUUGACGUAUUCGGUCUCGGCUGAAUUCUACUCGUCAGUGAAAUACCAUUCUUUUUGAAGGCAUGUUCUAACCAGCGCGGCAAAAACGCACUGAGACAGUAUCUGGUGGAUAGUUUUACUGGGGCUGUACCCUCGAGGGUUUGAAUGACCCAUAGGAAAUUCCUAUGGGUAAGAUUGAACCUUCGAAUUUUGCAGCCUCGGGCAGGUUUAAUCCACCUGCAAAACAAAUAAAAUAGGGGGGCUUUCACGAAAAUACCAAGGGUUCCCCUUGGUAUAGAAAUCGUGAUUGGAAAGUUGGGAAUUUGCUGGAAAAACCGGGGAUGGUAUACUACUUAUAUUAUAAGUAACAAUGUAUGCCUGCGGUCAAUCAGCAGGGAAUUAAAAUUAUGAAAGAAGAAGCACCAAGAUUAGAGUUUGCUGUUGCAAUUGCGAAUGUUAGAACAUUAGCACACAGUUUACAGGGAAUAAAACCAGAGAAAUUUUCUGCUCUUAAGAAAGAAUUUACUGAAAAUCUUUCAAAAGAAGAAAUUGAUGCUCUUAAAGGUUUGAUUUCUGUUCUAGAAAAUGUAAGUUAAAAGAUUCAUAAUAAUUUUUCCCUCAGAGACUACAAACCAACCAUCCCGAGUAAAAUCGAGGGAUGAAUGUAUAGUCCGUCCUGCAUGGCGACAUGCAGUUAACACAGAGCCUAAAGAGUAAAGGAGGGGUUUAAAGGUAAUCUAGGCGCGAAUGGAAACCGUGCCGAUAGUGUAAUAGCACAAGAUUGCUUGACUGUGAGAGGUACAUCUCAAGCAGGUGGGAAACCAGAAUAUAGUGAACCGACCACCCGUAUUAGACGCGGUGGAAGAUUAACGGAUAAAAGCUACUCUAGGGAUAACAGGCUAGUUCCGCCCAAGAGUUCAUAUCGACGGCGGAGUUCGGCACCUCGAUUAACACCGAAUGUCGAGGAGAGAGUACGAACAGUACUCUCAUGCGUGUGAUUAAG